UGGGGAAUAUUGCACAAUGGGCGCAAGCCUGAUGCAGCCAUGCCGCGUGUGUGAAGAAGGCCUUCGGGUUGUAAAGCACUUUCAGCGGGGAGGAAGGCGAUAAGGUUAAUAACCUUGUCGAUUGACGUUACCCGCAGAAGAAGCACCGGCUAACUCCGUGCUAGCAGCCGCGGUAAUACGGAGGGUGCAAGCGUUAAUCGGAAUUACUGGGCGAAAAGCGCACGCAGGCGGUCUGUCAAGUCGGAUGUGAAAUCCCCGGGCUCAAACUGGGAACUGCAUACGAAACUGGCAGGCUAGAGUCUUGGAGAGGGGGGUAGAAUUCCAGGUGUAGCGGUGAAAUGCGUAGAGAUCUGGAGGAAUACCGGUGGCGAAGGCGGCCCCCUGGACAAAGACUGACGCUCAGGUGCGAAAGCGUGGGGAGCAAACAGG
rnacentral:rRNA from 1 species